UUUUGAAUUCAUGGUGAUGGAGUUAAGUCAGUUUAUACAUUCUUGGAAGGUAGUUUAGCAGUAUUAUCCACUAUGGAGAAUUGUCUCUACUAAAAACUCAAUCAAAUGUGGUGGUGUAGGGAAGUAUUUUGAUUGUUUGGAAGCCUUACUGUGUCUGUGGCAGUUGAUUGAACAAACAGAAAAUUACCGGCUUUCGUCAAGAAACCCAAAAGUGACGCUGACAGCACUCCAGUUAAAGCUGUCUCUGAGGAAAAUGUCAUCAACGAGGAAGCUAUCAUAAAGGAGGAGGUAUAUAAUGAUGUGAAAGAAGUAGGAGGUUCUGACAAUGAGGAUUGAAUAGCAUUUUCCAUCAGAGUAAUCUAAUACUAAGUAGGGCUUUUGUUAUAUGGUACCCUCCUUUCCAAUGCGAUUCAAUAUCUAUUUUUGUUUGUCAGUGGGAGCUGUUAGGUUACCCAAUUACACUACACCUGCAAUUCAUCACCUUGGAAUCUAAGACAAAAGUUUUAAACUUGU